rnacentral:rRNA from 1 species
GCCCUGUGACCAAAGUGUUUAACGGCCGCGGUAUCCUGACCGUGCGAAGGUAGCGUAAUCAUUUGUCUUUUAAAUGAAGACCUGUAUGAAUGGCAUAACGAGGGUUUAACUGUCUCCUUCUCCCGGUCAAUGAAAUUGAUCUGCCCGUGCAGAAGCGGGCAUAAAGACAUAAGACGAGAAGACCCUAUGGAGCUUUAGGCAAAAGAUCAUGCAUGUAAAGAAGCACAAAAUCAAAAGGAGAUAAAGAAGCUAAUGUAAACCAGAUGCAGAUUGAUCUAACAUGCCUUCGGUUGGGGCGACCAUGGGGGAAAACAAAGCCCCCAAGUGGAAAGGAGUACCCUCCUAAACCAAGAAGGACACUUCAAAGCAGCAGAACAUCUGACCAUCAAUGACCCGGGCAGCAGCCCGAUCAACGGAACAAGUUACCCUAGGGAUAACAGCGCAAUCCUUUCCCAGAGUCCAUAUCGACGAAAGGGCUUACGACCUCGAUGUUGGAUCAGGACAUCCUAAUGGUGCAGAAGCUAUUAAGGGNUCGUUUGUUCAACG